GAUGAACGCUGGUGGCGUGCCUAAUACAUGCGAGUCGAGCGAACGGACGAGAAGCUUGCUUCUCUGAUGUUAGCGGCGGACGGGUGAGUAACACGUGGAUAACCUACCUAUAAGACUGGGAUAACUUCGGGAAACCGGAGCUAAUACCGGAUAAUAUUUUGAACCGCAUGGUUCAAAAGUGAAAGACGGUCUUGCUGUCACUUAUAGAUGGAUCCGCGCUGCAUUAGCUAGUUGGUAAGGUAACGGCUUACCAAGGCAACGAUGCAUAGCCGACCUGAGAGGGUGAUCGGCCACACUGGAACUGAGACACGGUCCAGACUCCUACGGGAGGCAGCAGUAGGGAAUCUUCCGCAAUGGGCGAAAGCCUGACGGAGCAACGCCGCGUGAGUGAUGAAGGUCUUCGGAUCGUAAAACUCUGUUAUUAGGGAAGAACAUAUGUGUAAGUAACUGUGCACAUCUUGACGGUACCUAAUCAGAAAGCCACGGCUAACUACGUG
rnacentral:rRNA from 1 species